GUUUUUUGUGUGUUUUUUUCUUGUAGUUUCUGGCAAUUCCUAGUCUCACAGUGUUGUGGUUAGAAAAGAUGCUUGAUGUGAUUUCAGUCAACAAGACCAAAAGUAUUACCAGUAAUAUGAUUACUGAAAGGUUUAAGCAAUUUGUUGCACGUAAGUGCUCCAUUCGCUAAUAGGUAUACCAUUUCUACCUUUUUUUUAAAGCAUUUAUUUACUCAUUUAACUUUUUAGGGCCACAUCCACGGCACAUGGAAGUUCGCAGGUAGGGGUCGAAUCGGAGUUACAGCUGCUGGCCUCCACCACAGGCACAGCAAUGCAGGAUCCCAGCCGUGUAUGUGACCUACACCACAGCUCAAGGCAACUGGCAACGCCAGGUCCUUAAACCAGUGAGCAAGGCCAGGGAUGGGGCCUACGUCCUCGCAGAUACUAGUUGGGUUUGUUAGCCGCUGAGCCACGAUGGGGCCCCUCCCCCACGUCUACUUUGUUAGAGCAAACAUCCGUUACAAAUUAUGUGUUCUCUUCCUUAUAAGCCUCAUCUAGGUCUAUUAAGAGCAUACACAUUUAACGUUCCCUCGGAGUGUACGAGGCAUCUCUGUAGUCAUCUGGGUGUCUCCGUCUCCAGCUCAUCCCCAGUCUCUGGCACCCUGGUCUGUGGUGUCUACAACGCAAGUUGUUUUCUUUUUAAGCAGUGAUGGGGGGAGACGCAAAAGCAGUGCUCCAUGACCAUCGCCUUCCCAGAACCCCAAGAACCGGUGGCGGUCUGAGGACAGGGGGCGGAGGUCUUGGGCGACGGACUCCUCGCAUUCUGAAUCUGCUGCUGCUUGGUGUUCUCCACUCCUCCUCUACCCCCCCUUCCUGCUCCGCUGCCACUGCAAUCGAAAUCCAGUGGCGUGAGCAUAACGGGGGGAACAGAAACACUCAUCUGUGUACUCGGGAGGUGCGUCACUUAAGCUUGCCACCAUCAGGGACGCUACCUUUUGCCCACGUGGUGAGCAGGGAUCACCAAAUGCCUCCUAUGCAAACGUUCAUUUUUCACCUGACAAUCAUGAAAUUCUUUGUGGAGCAAAAUGUUAAGAGUACGUGAAUAUUUUCUUCCCCUGAGACUUUUCAUCUAAUGGUCUGAGCAUCCAUUGAUAAGCCUCGCCUGAAUCUGUUAAUCUGUAAACUCUACAGUAUUAGAAAAUCACAUUAAAAACCCUCUGUUCCUUAUUUCCAUACUUUUAAGCUGGCAAUCUUCUGCAAGGAGCUCUCCCACUGGAGAUUACUAGAGUCGUUCUAGAAAGGCAGUACCAAAAUACAAUCAUUAUUAAAAAAAGAAAAAAUAUACAAUUAUUUCCCUUUACCCAUUUUCAGUAUAAGAUAUUGGUAUAAUAUUUACCUCCACUGUUGGCACAUAAGUUUAGUUUUCCUUUUUGAAUAUCAAAAAUAAAUUUUAAAAAGAAACUUAUGGAUUUUAUUUACUUAAUUCAACUACACUUGUGACUUCUUAUGUUUAAAUUAUCUCAACUUGGGAGUUCCCGUCGUGGCACAGUGGUUAACGAAUCCGACUAGGAACCCUGAGGUUGCGGGUUCGAUCCCAGGCCUCGUGCAGUGGGUUAAGGAUGCCAUGAGCUGUCGUGGAGGUCACAGACGCAGCUUAGAUUCUGCGUUGCUGUGGCUGUGGUGUAGGCUGGCAGCUGUAGCUCUGACUUGACCCGUAGCCUGGGAACCUCCAUAUGCCAGAAGUGCAGCCCUAAAAAGACAAAAAAACAAACAAAAAAAAAAAAAAA
ensembl:lncRNA